rnacentral:rRNA from 1 species
AAGGCGGCUUUGCUGUCACUUAUAGAUGGAUCCGCGCCGUAUUAGCUAGUUGGUAAGGUAACGGCUUACCAAGGCAACGAUACGUAGCCGACCUGAGAGGGUGAUCGGCCACACUGGAACUGAGACACGGUCCAGACUCCUACGGGAGGCAGCAGUAGGGAAUCUUCCGCAAUGGGCGAAAGCCUGACGGAGCAACGCCGCGUGAGUGAUGAAGGUCUUCGGAUCGUAAAACUCUGUUAUCAGGGAAGAACAAAUGUGUAAGUAACUGUGCACAUCUUGACGGUACCUGAUCAGAAAGCCACGGCUAACUACGUGCCAGCAGCCGCGGUAAUACGUAGGUGGCAAGCGUUAUCCGGAAUUAUUGGGCGUAAAGCGCGCGUAGGCGGUUUUUUAAGUCUGAUGUGAAAGCCCACGGCUCAACCGUGGAGGGUCAUUGGAAACUGGAAAACUUGAGUGCAGAAGAGGAAAGUGGAAUUCCAUGUGUAGCGGUGAAAUGCGCAGAGAUAUGGAGGAACACCAGUGGCGAAGGCGACUUUCUGGUCUGUAACUGACGCUGAUGUGCGAAAGCGUGGGGAUCAAACAGGAUUAGAUACCCUGGUAGUCCACGCCGUAAACGAUGAGUGCUAAGUG